rnacentral:rRNA from 1 species
AACGAACGCUGGCGGCAGGCUUAACACAUGCAAGUCGAACGGGCGUAGCAAUACGUCAGUGGCGGACGGGUGAGUAACACGUGGGAAUAUGCCUUUCGGUUCGGAACAACUCGGGGAAACUCGUGCUAAUUCCGGAUACGCCCUUACGGGGAAAGGAUUUAUCGCCGAAGGAUUAGCCCGCGUUGGAUUAGCUAGUUGGUGAGGUAAUGGCCCACCAAGGCGACGAUCCAUAGCUGGUUUGAGAGAACGACCAGCCACACUGGGACUGAGACACGGCCCAGACUCCUACGGGAGGCAGCAGUGGGGAAUCUUGGACAAUGGAGGAAACUCUGAUCCAGCCAUGCCGCGUGAGUGAUAG